rnacentral:lncRNA from 1 species
CAGAUCCUGUUUGGCCAGGUGUUCUCUAUGGAGGUUUACUGUACUCUACUAAACUCUGGGUCAGAUCCUGUUUGGCCAGGUGUUCUCUAUGGAGGUUUACUGUACUCUACUAAACUGGGUCAGAUCCUGUUUGGCUGGGUGUUCCCUAUGGAGGUUUACUGUACUCUACUAAACUCUGGGUCAGACCCUGUUUGGCCAGGUGUUCCCUAUGGAGGUUUACUGUACUCUACUAAACUCUGGGUUAGAUCCUGUUUGGCUGGGUGUUCCCUAUGGAGCUUCACUGUACUCUACUAAACUCUGGGUUAGAUCCUGUUUGGCUGGGUGUUCCCUAUGGAGGUUCACUGUACUCUACUAAACUCUGGGUUGGGUCGUGCAUAGCCGGGUGGUCUGCUGUGAACUCCAUAUGAAC